UGCCAGCCGCCGCGGUAAUACGGAGGGUGCAAUCGUGGUUCGGAAUUAUUGUGCGUAAAGCGCGUGUAGGCGGUUCGUUAAGUCUGAUGUGAAAGCCCCGGGCUCAACCUGGGAACUGCAUUCCAAACUGACAGACUAGAGUACGAUAGAGGGGGGUAGAAUUCGGAGUGUAGCGGUGAAAUGCGUAGAUAUUCCGAGGAAUACCGGUGGCGAAGGCGGCCCCCUGGAUUGAUAAGGAAACGGAGGUGAGCACGCGUGGGGCGCAAACAGGAGUAGAUC
rnacentral:rRNA from 1 species